CCUACGGGGGACAGCAGUGAGGAAUAUUGGUCAAUGGGCUUACGCCUGAACCAGCCAAGUCGCGUGAGGGAAGACUGCCCUAUGGGUUGUAAACCUCUUUUGUCAGGGAGCAAUUUGCGCUACGUGUAGCGUUAUCGAGAGUACCUGAAGAAAAAGCAUCGGCUAACUCCGUGCCAGCAGCCGCGGUAAUACGGAGGAUGCGAGCGUUAUCCGGAUUUAUUGGGUUUAAAGGGUGCGUAGGCGGAAUGCCAAGUCAGCGGUAAAAUCGCGGGGCUCAACCUCGCUCCGCCGUUGAAACUGGCGGUCUUGAGUGGGCGAGAAGUAUGCGGAAUGCGUGGUGUAGCGGUGAAAUGCAUAGAUAUCACGCAGAACUCCGAUUGCGAAGGCAGCAUACCGGCGCCCAACUGACGCUGAAGCACGAAAGCGUGGGUAUCGAACAGGAUUAGAUACCCGUGUAGUC
rnacentral:rRNA from 1 species